rnacentral:rRNA from 1 species
GAUGAACGCUGGCUACAGGCUUAACACAUGCAAGUCGAGGGGAAACGACGGGGAAGCUUGCUUCCUUGGGCGUCGACCGGCGCACGGGUGAGUAACGCGUAUCCAACCUGCCUCUGACUGAGGGAUAACCCGUCGAAAGUCGGCCUAAUACCUCAUGGCAUCGUCUGCGGGCAUCCAACGACGAUUAAAGAUUUCAUCGGUCAGAGAUGGGGAUGCGUCUGAUUAGCUUGUUGGCGGGGUAACGGCCCACCAAGGCUACGAUCAGUAGGGGUUCUGAGAGGAAGGUCCCCCACAUUGGAACUGAGACACGGUCCAAACUCCUACGGGAGGCAGCAGUGAGGAAUAUUGGUCAAUGGGCGAGAGCCUGAACCAGCCAAGUAGCGUGCAGGAUGACGGCCCUAUGGGUUGUAAACUGCUUUUAUGCGGGGAUAAAGUGAGGGACGUGUCCUUCAUUGCAGGUACCGCAUGAAUAAGGACCGGCUAAUUCCGUGCCAGCAGCCGCGGUAAUACGGAAGGUCCGGGCGUUAUCCGGAUUUAUUGGGUUUAAAGGGAGCGUAGGCCGUGGAUUAAGCGUGUUGUGAAAUGCAGGUGCUCAACGUCUGCACUGCAGCGCGAACUGGUCCACUUGAGUGUGCGCAACGCAGGCGGAAUUCGUCGUGUAGCGGUGAAAUGCUUAGAUAUGACGAAGAACUCCGAUUGCGAAGGCAGCCUGCGGGAGCACAACUGACGCUGAAGCUCGAAAGUGCGGGUAUCGAACAGG